UAAGGAAAUUGGCAAACCAGAUGAAAGUCUGGGACGCAAAGCUACAGGGCCUUUAAAAUGGCAGCCAGUUGCAUAA
rfam:Clostridiales bacterium 36_14 Ley3_66761_scaffold_21811, whole genome shotgun sequence.